GUGCUCGAAGAAGAAUCAGUUGUUGUGGUGUGCAUUGGACAGAUUCUACCGUGUUGUUGUUUACAAAUGUAACUCAUUCUAUUCAAGAUAUUACACACAUAUUACUCCAGCAGAUGACAACGUGCAUUGAAUGCAAUGUUCUCAGGGAGAUGCCUGUGUGCUGGCUAGUGAGUGUAGAGGAUUCUCACAAACCCAUUCAGCUUCAACACCAUCAAACUGUGACUUUGGGAAGAAGAGCAGAAACUAAGAUAAAAGACAAAAAGUGCUCCAGAGACCAAGACCCACCGAAUUCUCAGUGAAGGACUACACUACCCACAAUCCUCAAGAGUGAUCCACCAAAGUCACUAGCUCUGCAGCAUCGCAAAUGACGUAAUCGAUACUCGCUGCCUGGGCUGCCUUCAUAGUACUUGGUGUUGAUGGCAAAGCAGAGGAAGAGGACAUCUACUACGCUCUCAAAGAUGGACAGGAAACAGUGGGUCACCAGGGAAGCGAACACACGCUAAGAUGAGGGGCAGUGUACUCUCACUUCUCCAAACACCACAGACAGCAGAUACACGCUUUCAGCGUACAUCGAGUGCAGGCAUUUUCCUACAGGAAUGAAAUAUGACUUGUCGCCAUUUCAACAUCUGUUCAUAUGUGUAGUAUAUAAAAAUAUAUACAAUUCAGGAUUUUGCUGGUUAAGUAAAUUUAAGCAACACUGAACACUGCAAUGAUUUUAACUUGGACAUUUAAUUUCCUAAAUACUGCAUAAUUAGACACAAUCCCUCUUUGCAAAUAUAGCCAGAGCAUUACAACAGAUGUUUUAAUCGCAUCUCUGCUAUCAAACCGCUGCAAUGAAUAGAUUCAUAAAUUGCCUCUAAUAACUGAAUAUCUGUCAAAAUGUUUCAAAAAUGUUCACUGAAGUCUCUGCAGGGCAUUUUGCAUUUAUAAAUGUUUUAGUAAUAAUAUAUGUAGGUACAGUGUAUAUAGCUGUUUAUUAGUGUGAAUAGUUAUAUUGGUGCAUAUUAAUGAAAAUCACUAAAUAGCAUUCUUGUUCAUUUAGUGAACAACUAGAUGAUUAAUAAUCUAUUAUAAAAAAAUCUGUUUAUACAUAUUUUUAUAUUUCUAAUUAAUAAAUAAUACAAAAAGAUUGCCUUGAUUAUUUGAUUAAGUGUUUUUGUUCUUAUAUUAAGUCUGAAAUGUAAUUUCU